rnacentral:snRNA from 1 species
AGCUUUGCGCAGUGGCAGUAUUGUAGCCAGUGAAGUUUAUCCAAGGCGCAGUUGUUGCUAAUUGAAAAACAUCAUUUGUGUUUAGAUAGAGGUUUGCUGAAAUAUAUAAGGAGCCGUCUUUUAAAAAUGACG